rnacentral:rRNA from 1 species
UACGAAGGGGGCAAGCGUUGUUCGGAAUUACUGGGCGUAAAGCGCGCGUAGGCGGCCUUUCAAGCCAGAGGUGAAAUCCCGGAGCUUAACUUCGGAAUUGCCUUUGGAACUGUGAGGCUGGAGUCCUGGAGGGGGUGGUGGAAUUCCAAGUGUAGAGGUGAAAUUCGUAGAUAUUUGGAGGAACACCGGUGGCGAAGGCGACCACCUGGACAGGUACUGACGCUGAGGCGCGAAAGCGUGGGGAGCAAACAGG